AUGAUAUUUUCUGUGUUGAUGCAAUGUACUCAGGUGAAUAUAUGCUUGUGAUGUUACUCUAAGUCUCAGAGUAACAUCACAAGCAUAUAUCCACCUGAGUACAUUGCAUCAACACAGGAAAUAUCAUGAUUACUAAAU
rnacentral:miRNA from 1 species